rnacentral:rRNA from 1 species
UACGGAGGGGCGUAGCGUUGUUCGGAAUUACUGGGCGGUAAAGACGCACGUAGGCGGAUCAGUCAGUCAGAGGUGAAAUCCCGGAGCUCAGCUUCGGAACUGCCUUUGAUACUGCUGAUCUAGAGUCCGGGAGAGGUGCAUGGAAUUCCGAGUGUAGAGGUGAAAUUCGUAGAUAUUCGGAGGAACACCAGAGGCGAAGGCGAUGCACUGGACCGGUACUGACGCUGAGGUGCGAAAGCGUGGGGGAGCAAACAGGAUUAGAUACCCCCGGUAGU